GCAGAGUCUUGAAAGCGUACAGACAUGCUGGUUGGAUAACAGUUCGUGUAAAGGUGGCACAAGGCUAGCAGCUCAUUGGCACAGUGGAAGCUAAACCAGAGAACUCUCAUGCUCCUGUCAUGAAAUGUUCCAAUUUCCAGAUGACCAAACCUACACUUUUGCUGAUGGUGGUGAAAGGGAAGACUUGUCCCGGGAGCCGCGUAUGCAUUGAGGCACUGCUAACCAUCCUACCUCGCAGAGACCUGCACCCUCGCCUGGUGUCGAAUCCCUCAAUGUCUUUGUGGUACAGUAUACCACUAGUCCCUCUGCAUUCAUCAUCUCUGUGGUACAUACCACUAGUCCCUCUGCAUUAAUCAUCUCUGUGGUACAGUAUACCACUAGUCCCUCUGCAUUCAUCGUCUCUGUGCUACAGUAUACCACUAGUCCCUCUGCUUUCAUCAUCUCUGAAAAAUAAGAGCGAUGUAAUACUUAAUAUACUGAACAAAACUAUAAACGCAACAUGCAACAAUUUGAGAUUUUACUGAGUUACAGUUCAUAUAAGCAAAUCAGUCAAUUGAAAUGAAUUCCUUACAGUGGGGGAAAAAAGUAUUUGAUCCCCUGCUGAUUUUGUACAUUUGCCCACUUACAAAGAAAUGAUCAGUCUAUAAUUUUAAUGGUAGGUUUAUAUGAACAGUGAAAGACAGAAUAACAACAAAAAAAUCCAGAAAAACGCAUGUCAAAAAUGUUAUAAAAUGAUUUGCAUUUUAAUGAGGGAAAUAAGUAUUUGACACCUCUGCAAAACAUGACUUAGUACUUGGUGGCAAAACCCUUGUUGGCAAUCACAGAGGUCAGACGUUUCUUGUAGUUGGCCACCAGGUUUGCACACAUCUCAGGAGGGAUUUUGUCCCACUGCUCUUUGCAGAUCUUCUCCAAGUCAUUAAGGUUUCAAGGCUGACGUUUGGCAACUUGAACCUUCAGCACCCUCCACAGAUUUUCCAUGGGAUUAAGGUCUGAAGACUGGCUAGGCCACUCCAGGACCUUAAUGUGCUUCUUCUUGAGCCACUCCUUUGUUGCCUUGGCCAUGUGUUUUGGGUCAUUGUCAUGCUGGAAUACCCAUCCACGACCCAUUUUCAAUGCCCUGGCUGAGGGAAGGAGGUUCUCACCCAAGAUUUGACAGUACAUGGCCCCGUCAAAUGAUGCGGUGAAGUUGUCCUGUCCCCUUAGCAGAAAAACACCCCCAAAGCAUAAUGUUUCCACCUCCAUGUUUGACUGUGGAGAUGGUGUUCUUGGGGUCAUAGACAGCAUUCCUCCUCCAAACACGGCGAGUUGAGUUGAUGCCAAAGAGCUCCAUUUUGGUCUCAUCUGACCACAACAAUUUCACCAGUUGUCCUCUGAAUCAUUCAGAUGUUCAUUGGCAAACUUCAGACGGGCAUGUAUAUGUAUUCUUGAGCAGGGGGACCUUGCGGGCGCUGCAGGAUUUCAGUCCUUCACGGCGUAGUGUGUUACCAAUUGUUUUCUUGGUGACUAUGGUCCCAGCUGCCUUGAGAUCAUUGACAAGAUCCUCCCGUGUAGUUUUGGGCUGAUUCCUCACCGUUCUCAUGAUCAUUACAACCCCACGAGGUGAGAUCUUGCAUGGAGCCCCAGGCAGAGGGAUAUUGACAGUUCCUUUGUGUUUCUUCCAUUUGUGAAUAAUCACACCAAAUGUUGUCACCUUCUUACCAAGCUGCUUGGCAAUGGUCUUGUAGCCCAUUCCAGCCUUGUGUAGGUCUACAAUCUUGUCCCUGACAUCCUUGGCGAGCUCUUUGGUCUUGGCCAUGGGGGAGAGUUUGGAAUCUGAUUGAUUGAUUGCUUCUGUGGACAGGUGUCUUUUAUACAGGUAACAAGCUGCGGUUAGGAGCACUUCCUUUAAGAGUGUGCUCCUGAUCUCAGCUCAUUACCUGUAUAAAAGACACCUGGGAGCCAGAAAUCUUUCUGAUUGAGAGGGGGUCAAAUACUUAUUUCCCUCAUUAAAAUGCAAAUCAAUUUAUAACAUUUUUAACAUGCGUUUUUCCUUUUUUUUGUUUGUUAUUCUGUCUCUCACUGUUCA
rnacentral:lncRNA from 1 species